CGAUUCAUUUUGAGUGGUUAUCUCAUCACCGCCUCCAUUUCUAAAAGCGUCUCUUGCUUCCUUCGUUCGUCAUCGUUUCUCUCAGAUCUCGCUGCGAUGGAGACGACUCCGAUCCUUACCGCUUCUAAUUGUAGUAGAGAUCCUCCCGAUCUGCAAAUCCGUGCGGUGUUCUGAGCGAGAUCUGAUGGUUGACGACGGAUCUGACUCAGAUCUGGUUUUUUCUAUUGAUCUGGCCAUGAAUCGUCCUUUAUGGCUUCGUCAGAUGUGAGAUCUGUGAAUUAGUCACGUUGAGGCGCAGAGAUCUGGGAUACAAGGAGAGGAAUCUGUUGCAUAACCUAGCGAUACCAGGUCGUGUGUUUGUUUGGAUUGAAGUGAGUUUAGGGUGUAUAAGAUGUGUUUGUGGAUAGGUAUGGUAUCCUGGAUUGCAUCUUUGUCAUCCGACCUUUGUCAUGUUAGGUGCGCUUGCAUGGCAGGUCAAAAACUGUUAGCUCAAUAAAAGAUUUGUUUUGUGGGUUUUGGAGAAGAGAUCGCACGGGUUAUUGUUUUUUUUCCCGGGAUCUCUUCUCCUCUGUGUGUCUUGCCUCUGCUCUCUCUCUCGUUCCAUCUCUCUCUUUUUCAUUUACAUGCUCAUAGAAGCUUAAAAAAUCGAUCAUAAGCAGAGACUAUUACUUAAUCGGAGCCGUGGGCGAUACCAUGUCUUCUUGCACAACACUACCAAGUCAAAUCAGGUACUCGUAUAUUAAUUUGGAUACUCAAUUAUCAUCUUAGUGUACUCAGUAUUUGGAAGAACAAAUCUUGAUCUGAAUUAGUUGUAGUUUGCACAUAUUUACAUCAUGGUUGACCGGAAUUGCAAUAUCAUAAUUUGUCAUUGUCUAAUCUUACAGUAUCGUAUUAUAUAAUUGUCAAUCGUCAAAUAUAACAUCACAUAGUUGUGAUAGCGUAAAGUCUACUUCUGAAUGAUUUGGAACUAAGAUUUGAGGAAUAUGUAGUCCCCUUCGGUAGCUUCCUUGUGUAAGUGUGUAAGUUAGAAGAUGUGAAAGCCUUGUAGAAUACUAGUAUUUGCACAAGAUUGUGUGUAUCUGUAACCACCCACUCCCUGUAGAAGUAUGAAGAACGUGGAUUUUUUUUGAUGUUUCUUGUGUACUAAUCAGCUACUCUAUUUACAAUCGAAGAAUGUGUUACGUUUAAAGUUCCAUCUAUUAAGAUUUAUAUUCAUUUUAUAUUUCUUUUUAUAUUUUUCCGACUUAGAAAUUUUUUUAUCCCUUUGUAGUAUUUAUGAAAUCGCACUGUUAAUUUAGUUUAUGAAUUUUAUAAGCGAACAUUUUCCAAAUUAUUUUAAAGCAAGUUACUUUAAUUUGGAAAUUGCAUUUAAAGUAGAGAAGAUAGUUUAGUCUUAGCUUUUCAAACAUUGGGAGAAUUUCAGUGUUUGGGCCCAUGGGUGAAGGUUGUUUUUGAUAGAUAGAUAUGUAAGUUCAAAAUGGUAGAGCGCUCGUUUUCUUAUGGACGAGAGGUUGGUGGUUCGAAUCCACCCAGUUCUAAGUUGAUCCAUCUUUUAAACUUGAGUAUAAAUGAUGUUUUCUCUUCGCCUUUUCUACUGAUAGUUCAAUUAUGCCUCAUUUGGAUUAGGUUAUUGUACAUUUUCUCGGGUUGAGUUAAUUUCCAAGUUUGAAAUUUACGUGAUUCCCCUAUUCAGUUCUUCCGGAGCUAAUCUGAUGAGCUCAGUUGAAACAACUAUGUUUUAUUCCUCUCAUGAUCCACAAUAUUGUCCCACACUGAUCUCUGAAAGAUGUACUAUUGCCUUAACGUGACACAAUGACCACCAUAGUGGGAUUUUAGGAUUAGUGGAGAUGGAUUUUGAUUUUGACGGUAACUUGGUUUUAUGUCCAAUUUGAUUUUUGAAUGUGUCACAUUACAAUGCUAGGUGACUGUUGAAGUCGAAGAUAUUGAUGUUUCUUGCUGGAGAAGGAGAACAUGUCAUAUAAGAUGAAUGAUAAAAUGCGGUGAUUUUUUUAUUUACCUUUCUUGAAAUCUUGUACAUAUUUUUUACUUCUGUAACUAAUUCAACUCGUAAAUUUAAAACGUGACUUCAUAUACCA